UGGGGAAUAUUGCACAAUGGGCGCAAGCCUGAUGCAGCCAUGCCGCGUGUAUGAAGAAGGCCUUCGGGUUGUAAAGUACUUUCAGCGAGGAGGAAGGCGUUGUGGUUAAUAACCGCAGCGAUUGACGUUACUCGCAGAAGAAGCACCGGCUAACUCCGUGCCAGCAGCCGCGGUAAUACGGAGGGUGCAAGCGUUAAUUGGAAUUACUGGGUGUAAAGCGCACGCAGGCGGUCUGUCAAGUCGGAUGUGAAAUCCCCGGGCUCAACCUGGGAACUGCAUCCGAAACUGGCAGGCUAGAGUCUUGUAGAGGGGGGUAGAAUUCCAGGUGUAGCGGUGAAAUGCGUAGAGAUCUGGAGGAAUACCGGUGGCGAAGGCGGCCCCCUGGACAAAGACUGACGCUCAGGUGCGAAAGCGUGGGGAGCAAACA
rnacentral:rRNA from 1 species